rnacentral:rRNA from 1 species
CUUCGCUGCACCCCAGCUAACGCGUUAAACAUCCCGCCUGGGGAGUACGGGCGCAAGCCUGAAACUCAAAGGAAUUGGCGGGGGCCCGCACAACCGGUGGAGCGUCUGGUUUAAUUCGAUGCUAACCGAAAAACCUUACCAGGGUUUGAAAUGGUAGGAAAGGCUGUCGAAAGAUAGCCGUGUUUCCCUUUUGGGAGAAAUCCUACCACAGGUGGUGCAUGGCCGUCGUCAGCUCGUGUUGUGAGAUGUUGGGUUAAGUCCCGCAACGAGCGCAACCCUUGUCCUUAUUUGCUUCCUCGUAUGAGGUGCUCUAUAAGGAGACUGCCGGCGACAAGCCGGAGGAAGGAGGGGACGACGUCAGGUCAGUAUGCCCUUUAUGCCCUGGGCUACACAGGCGCUACAGUGGCAAGGACAAUGAGUAGCAAGAGUGCAAGCUCAAGCUAAUCUCACAAACCUUGUCGUGGUGCGAAUUGAAGGUUGAAACUCACCUUCAUGAAGCCGGAAUCGGUAGUAAUGG